rnacentral:miRNA from 1 species
UGCAAAAGUAAUUGUGGUUUUUGUCAUUAAAAGUAAUGGCAAAAAACGGCAAUUACUUU